rnacentral:rRNA from 1 species
AGAGUUUGAUCAUGGCUCAGAUUGAACGCUGGCGGCAGGCCUAACACAUGCAAGUCGAACGGUAACAGGAAGAAGCUUGCUUCUUUGCUGACGAGUGGCGGACGGGUGAGUAAUGUCUGGGAAACUGCCUGAUGGAGGGGGAUAACUACUGGAAACGGUAGCUAAUACCGCAUAACGUCGCAAGACCAAAGAGGGGGACCUUCGGGCCUCUUGCCAUCGGAUGUGCCCAGAUGGGAUUAGCUAGUAGGUGGGGUAACGGCUCACCUAGGCGACGAUCCCUAGCUGGUCUGAGAGGAUGACCAGCCACACUGGAACUGAGACACGGUCCAGACUCCUACGGGAGGCAGCAGUGGGGAAUAUUGCACAAUGGGCGCAAGCCUGAUGCAGCCAUGCCGCGUGUAUGAAGAAGGCCUUCGGGUUGUAAAGUACUUUCAGCGGGGAGGAAGGGAGUAAAGUUAAUACCUUUGCUCAUUGACGUUACCCGCAGAAGAAGCACCGGCUAACUCCGUGCCAGCAGCCGCGGUAAU